rnacentral:rRNA from 1 species
UCGCUCAACGGAUAAAAGGUACGCCGGGGAUAACAGGCUAAUGACUCCUUAGAGUUCCUAUCGACGGAGUCGUUUGGCACCUCGAUGUCGGCUAGUCACAUCCUGGAGCUGAAGCAGGUUCCAAGGGUUCGGUUGUUCGCCGAUUAAAGUGGCACUUGAGCUGGGUUCAGAACGCCGUGAGGCAGUUUGGUCCCUAUCUACUGUGAGCGUUAAGAAAAUUGAAAAAAGUAGACCCUAGUACGAGAGGACCGGGAAAAGUAAACCUCUGGUGUAGCGAUUGUUUCUAUAGAAGCACAGUCGCGUAGCUACGUUUAUAUUAGAUAAUCGCUGAAAGCAUCUAAGUGAGAAACUAUUUUUAAGACAUGUUUUCUUUUUUAAGAGCCGUGAUAUAACAUCACGUUGAUAGGUGUAGCGUGUAAGGAUCGUAAGGUCUUUAAGCGACUACAUACUAAAAGUUCGAUAUUGUUUUUAAG